GAACUUUUUAUAGGGAACCCGUUGUUAAGAUUUUGGCAGCUCAUCACUGCCCAUACUCCAUCCCCCCCAUAUUCUCCUGUCUGUAAGUUCUGUGUGAUGCAUUAGACGUGCAGUGCUGAAUCUCACUUUAAAGAACAAGCUCAAAAGGGUGCUAAUGGUUCAGUAUUUGUUGUUAUUGACUGAAUCAAAAAGUGUUAUUUGAUAUAAAAGAUUCCAAAUAGUUGCUCCAUUUUAUGAUGUUCAUAUUCAACCUAUUUGUUCUAUUGUGCAGGUUUUUCCCCAUAAUCCUAUAUCCCAGCUGUGGCUCACAUAUUCAAAAUGUCUAAUGCCUGAAAUACCUGAAUGAAUGCCUGAAAUGUAUCCUCCUUGACCAAGUGAUGUUAAACUGAAAAGAAGACCUGUGUGGGGAAGAAUAUUGGAAAAACACAAGAGACUCCCAUUCUAAAAUAACCAAUAGACUGAUGAUUAGUGCACUCACCUGGGACAUGAGAGACCAAGGUUCAAGGACCUGCUGUGGCAGACUGGGUGAAUGUUUGGGGCACUUUGGAUUCCAUUUACCCCAGAAACAGUGAUGUUUUGCUUUAGCCAGAGGACUAACCUACCUGGAAAACAAAGGAAGGCAACAGCCACAUCAUCAUGGUGAAAUGUUUUCAUUGAAGAACCAAACCAACUGUUUUGACAAAUUUAUGGAAAGAAAGGAGUAAGAGUAAAUAAAAUAUUGUCAUUUUACUUGUACCUGUAUCAUGACACGUCCAUUAAAGAAACCAGCAUUGCAAGAUAAUU